ensembl:lncRNA
AAGGGAUGGAGACAAGACCAGGGGCCUCGUUUAUCAACCAUGCAUAAACCGUGCAUGCAUUGUCCUAUAGACGUUGUGUUUUGGUAUUCUGUACUUGUAUAUUGGUGCCACCUAUUGACAAUGUUCUACACGCAGUUUGAGUGAUUUGACUUGUUCUUAGUUGAUGACGUCAUCAUCGUGCGCCUGGUUCACGCAGGUGCCAUUGCAGGCAUGGCAAUCUUCUCUCUAUUCUAUCUUUAAACAUCUUCUAGAAAUUGACUUUAGAUGGCACGUUUGUUCUACCCUACUUCAGCUGCCUUCAAGUAAAUGAAUAUACUGGAUUCUCCUCGUCAGUGUGGUUAUUUGAGAGGACUUUUAGCUGCUUGCCUUAAGCAAGGUGCUUGAGGUUGACGACAGAGCAGUGCACACACACAUUUCUUUGCACUGAAUGGGAUUGAUCAAGUUUUUCUUGUCCGAGGAUGUGUGCAUAUGUCCUCACACUGCUGACCAUGUGUAUGCAAGAAAUGCUGGUGGUAGAAAAAUGUAACAGCAGGUAAACUGACUGUGUGCAGCUAUAUAAUUAUAUAAUGUGCUGUCUAUCCUAUCAGCAUAUCAGAGAGUAAUUACUGAUUUUGGUGCUCACAAGAUGCAGACAGGUGACACAGGGGGAAUGUAAAGUAAAAUCGUAUAAAAGGAACGCCAACUUUCUCUUGAGAUUCAGUUCAUGGACAGAUGCCCUGACCUUUUCCUUUAGAAUUCGCUGGUAUAAUUCAGAAUUCAUCGUUCCAUCAAUGAUGGCAAGCCGUCCUGGCGCAGAUGCAGCAAAACAGGCCAAAACCGUGAUACUACCACCACCGUGUUUCACAGGUUCUUAAGCUGGAAUGCAGUGUUUUCCUUUCUCCAAACAUAACGCUUCUCAUUUAAACCAAAAAUGUAUAUUUUGGUCUCAUCCGUCCACAAAACAUUUUUCCAAUAGCCUUCUGGCUUGUCCACGUGAUCUUUAGCAAACUGAAGAAGGGCAGCAAUGUUCUUUUUUGGAGAGUGUUGCUUUUCUCCUCGCAACCGUGCCAUGUACACCAUCGUUGUUCAGUGUUCUCCUGAUGGUGGACUCAUAAACAUUAAACAUGAGCCAAUAUGUGAGAGGUCUUUAGGUGCAUAGAAGUUACCCUGGGUUCCUUUGUGAGCUCGUGGACUAUUGUAUGUUCAGUGGUCUUGAAUCCACCCCAUUUGUAGACAAUCUGCCCGAGGUCCUCAGAAAUCUCCUUUGUUCGUGAUGUGAUACACUUCCACAAACAUGUUGUGAAGAUCAGACUCCGAUGGAUCGCUGUUCUUUAAAUAAAACCGAGUGCUCACUCACACCUUGUCAUCCCACUGAUUGAAAACACCUGACUUUAAUUUCACCUUCAAAUGACCUGCUAAUCCUAGAAGCUCACAUACUUUUCCCACUCACAGAUAUGUAAUAUUGUAUCAUUUUCCUCAAUAAAUAAGUGACCAAG